AGAAAACUGAAACAUAAAAAUAAUAAGAUAUCCUCAAUGGAUUUAUCCAAAGGGUCAUUAAGUCUGAUCUAAAGAAUGAUCUGUAUUGGAAAUGAGG
rnacentral:lncRNA from 1 species